rnacentral:misc_RNA from 1 species
CAGAUGGGUAUAAAGGACAGGUGAAUCAUCGAAUCUUUGAACGCACAUUGCGCCCCUUGGUAUUCCGGGGGGCAUGCCUGUUCGAGCGUCAUUACAACCCUCAAGCCUGGCUUGGUAUUGGGCUUCGCCACUAACCUGGCGGGCCUUAAAAUCAGUGGCGGUGCCUCCGAGGCCCUGAGCGCAGUAAAUAUCCUCGCUAUAGGGACCCGGUGGUUACUGGCCAGCAACCCCAACUUUCUAAGUUUGACCUCGGAUCAGGUAGGGAUACCCGCUGAACUUAAGCAUAUCAAUAAGCGGAGG